rnacentral:rRNA from 1 species
AUGCACCUCCAACCACUAGAUUUCUGUGCCAAAAGUUUGAUUGAUGUAAUUCUCAAUGCAUCUAAGGUUUAUGUGAUUGGCGGGGAUGGAACAAUGAGAGGAGCAGUGGCCAUAUUCGAAGAGUUUAAACGGUGUGGUUUGAGGAUAUCCAUUACAGGGAUCCCAAAAAACUUGGACAACGACAUCGACAUUAUAGACAAGGCGUUUGGGUUUCAAGCCGCAGUGGAGAGUGCUCAGUAG